CGAUGUCGGCUAUGCGUAUCGCACGCAGGGGCCCAUCACUUAGCAAUAAGUGAAAGCAAAUCUAGCUCAUAACGGUGGAACCCGAUUGACAUUCGGAUUAUCUGAAUAUCGUAGGGCAAUACCGUGGGAAGUCGUCGAGUCUGACUCGAUUGACCCCGUAACGACUCUUCAAUCUUUUAUUGAAGGAUCCCGCUUUCAAACGGGAUAACACGCUAGGCCCCUGAAGUAGAACGGAUGUUCACUUCAGGGUGAUGGUAUAGUCUAACCCUCGUUGUAAUACGAGA
rnacentral:autocatalytically_spliced_intron from 1 species